CUUUCUUUGUGAUUUGAAACCCAAAAUAGUAUUCUAUGACAAUGUUUACUGAUAAUGUUGCCCCUCUUUUCCAGGUGAAGGACUCUCAGAAAGAACUGUAGAGGUCAUUCUUUCAGUAACAUUGUGUAUCCUUUCAAUAAUUCUUCUUGGAACAGCCAUAUUUGCAUUUGCAAGGUAAGAUUUGUUUGUACUCACGUUCCCAGGAUGCUUUACGGGCAUUAUAUCAAUCACAGUCCAAUCAGGAGACAGAAUCCUCAGUAGUUAUAUGAAUGGGAAACAUUUACUUUUUAGUUUUCUUAAAUUGACAGAAAAAAAACUUUUUAUUCAUUUAUCAUGUGUACUAUGAUGUUCUGAAGUACAUAUGCAGCAUAGAUUGACUAAGGAAGGAAUUCCUGUCAUCUGAAUGGGAAAAAUUUAAUGUGAAGAAUAUUAAAUAAAAGAAAUGGUAAGCUACUAAAAGUGGGUAAAAGAGAAUUCUAAGGAGCCUAGAAGUAGCAAAUGCAAGAAAGCAACUACUCUCCUUAGUCUGAGGGACAGGACAGUAAAGGAACUAAGACUGAAAGAAGUCCCAAACUAAUGUUGUCAUGUGCAACCUAUCAGUGGGCAAACAGGGCAGAGGACAGGGAGCUCUUUUGUAGAAGUUAUCCAUCAUUAUUGGAGGAUAGGCAGACUAGAAUUGCUUGUAGAAGCAUCUAAUUCUUUUUGGAUGGGAUAUAUGGGCUGGAUCUUCUUGGAAUCCUAAACCAAAGGGAUGGAGAGAGUUUUCACUUCAGAGGCAGUGAGAACUCAUCCAGGUGGGCUUGAUUUCCAGAAGAAAUAAUAAUAAUGCAGGACUGAAAUCCAUAAGGGCAAGUGGUCCUAGUGCCUGGAAGAUAGGGACCAUGUUUUAUAAUUUCUAUUUCUUCAUCAAUAUGUAAUACAUAAUAAAUAAUGAAUGUUAAUUAUGUGGCUGAUAAAAUAGCUACAUAUUACCUCAUAAUAUCAAUAUUAUUUAUAGGCUGUCAGAUUCAUAUGACUUCAUUUUGAACCUGAGUUUUCUGAUUAUAAUAAAGAUAAUAUUCUUCAUAAUAUUUUCAUAAAAAUUCAAUGAGGCAAUUAAAAAUCAUUUAUAUGUAUUUGCAUGCAUGUAAAAAUGUUUCAUUAUAUAAAAACAAUGGAUUUUUUUAGCACUGACAUUAAUAGUACUGAGCUAUUUCCACUUUAACAUAUUUUCUUUUCAUGGCAAAUCAGUGAGACAGCUAGAGUGAGAAGAAACUGGUCAUAGCCUCAGUCUCCCUGACUCAUCUAUUUCAAAUAUGCCAGUUGUUCAGGCCUUGAUCUACCAAGUCUUAUUAAAUUGUGGAUGUAAACCAAACAAUUUGUUUCAAAAUUUUUAUCUUUUAAAAGUCUUUAAUAGAAAAUGUUCUGUGGAAUUAAAACAGGCAAAACAAAAUUGAAUAGUUCUAAAAUUGCCACAUAUUCUGAGAAGUGAUUCUAACAAAGAAAUGAUCUGAUUAAAUGUCUUCACUUAUAAAGAAAACUAAUAGAAAAAAAAACCAGUAGGGAAAGAGGACUGGGAAUGAUAGAAGAACAGAGAGAAAGGGGAGGUACUGGGGAAUGAAAUCGACCAAAUUAUUAUCAUGUACAUCUAUGAAUAUGUAAUACUAUAACAAUGAAUCCCAUUAUUAUGUAUAAUUAUAAUGCACCAAUAAAAUAUUUUGAAAGGAAAACUAAACCUAAUUCUUAUGCUUUUAAAGAUAUUCCUUUCUUGGACUUUAUUGUACUUGUUUUAGAAUUCGACAGAAGCAGAAAGAAGGUGGCACAUACUCUCCUCGGGAUGCAGAAAUUAUUGACACUAAAUUCAAACUGGAUCAGCUCAUCACAGUGGCAGACCUGGAGCUGAAGGACGAGAGAUUAACGCGGUGAGCACACUCCACUGGGCGAACAGUGGUCCAGAGGGCCUGGAGCCAUGACCCCACCCUGACCUAUGCUUGUUGGAAGUGUUUGUGGGGCUCCAGUUUACACAGGUCACAGAGAUCUUCUUUCAAAGGGUGACCUCUGUCUUCCACACACUUCUCACUGGUGUUCAGAGAAUCACUUAAUCUUCCUAAUAUUUUGAGUUCAAUAUGAACCUCGGACUCUAAUGUUCAACAAGAUUUUCUUCCUGAGGCAAAUAUUUUUAUACAUUAUGUUUUACAUUUUGUUUAAAAAUUCAUUUCAUGUGAUAGAUUUCUUAUACAUCAGAUUUGUUUCAAAAUGUCCACUUUUUAAAUAACAAGUUUAAUUACAUUUAUAAUAACUUGAUAUUGUUUAUGUCAGUUUUGAGAGCAUCUCUUAAACCUCCCUAUUUUAGUAUAAAAUUAAAUUUAUAAACUGUAUAUAACAUUUUAGUAUUUAUAAUUGAUUAGUAUUUAAAAACUAAAUGCAAAGCAACAAUUUACCUUCAGAAGGAGAAGUAUAAAUGUGUGUACUACAUAUGGUCACUGGUAUGUAUGGGAAAUGCUAAAGUG
rnacentral:lncRNA from 1 species